AGUGAACGUUGGCGGCGUGGAUUAGGCAUGCAAGUCGAGCGAGAACCGUAGCAAUACGGGGACAGCGGCGAAAGGGACAGUAAUGUGUAGGUACCUACCCCGAGGUCUGGGAUAGCUGCGGGAAACUGCAGGUAAUACCGGACAAUGUCUUCGGACCAAAGGUGUGAUUCCACCUUGGGAGGGGCCUGCAUCCUAUUAGCUUGUUGGCGGGGUAACGGCCCACCAAGGCGACGAUGGGUAGCGGGUGUGAGAGCACGACCCGCGUCAUUGGGACUGAGACACUGCCCAGACACCUACGGGUGGCUGCAGUCGAGGAUCUUCGGCAAUGGGCGCAAGCCUGACCGAGCGACGCCGCGUGCGGGAUGAAGGCCUUCGGGUUGUAAACCGCUGUCGUAGAGGAGGAAAUGCAGGGGGGUUCUCCCCUCUGUUUGACCUAUUCUAGGAGGAAGUACGGGCUAAGUUCGUGCCAGCAGCCGCCGUAA
rnacentral:rRNA from 1 species